UACAGAGGGUGCAAGCGUUAAUCGGAAUUACUGGGCGUAAAGAGUGCGUAGGUGGAUAAAUAAGUCAUAUGUGAAAUCCCCGGGCUUAACCUGGGAAUUGCGUCUGAAACUGUUUGUCUAGAGUAUGGUAGAGGAUAGUGGAAUUUCCGGUGUAGCGGUGAAAUGCGUAGAUAUCGGAAGGAACACCAGUGGCGAAGGCGACUAUCUGGGCCAAUACUGACACUGAGGUACGAAAGCGUGGGUAGCGAACAGG
rnacentral:rRNA from 1 species